CCUCCACGCGUGAGUACAGAACAUUUGAACGCAACUUCGCAAUUUUUGAAACUUUAAGGUAUUCCAGGGACUUAGAACUCGCAGUUGCAAGAUGCGUCCGUGUGUAGUUUGUCUGUGCGUGCUCGGCGUCCUGUUAUUGGCAGUCCACAACAGUCAGUCCCAGCCUGUGAAAUUCCAGAAGUGGGAGGACUAUUUGGAGGCCAUGGGAAAGGAGUUCACGCAAAAGGAGGACAAAUGCAAAAAUGAUCCAGAGUCCCAGAACAUAUGUGAGAAAUGUUCCAAAGUGACCAAAAAUGAGGUUGUCUUUCCUCUCUGCUGCCAAGAACAAAAAGGAGUCAGAACUUGGUGCAAGAAGUUCCUCAGUUACACUUAUAAAGAAUAACAGCUGGACAUCACAGAAGAAUGAUACAUCCCACCAUUUUCAUAAGAAUUCUUUUGACUGAAGCUUCAUAAUGAAAGCUUAGGUGAUCGGACCUUCUUGUUAUAGCAUGAAAUAAUUUAUAAGUGCUUAUAUAUGUGUGUGCAUGAGAAUUUUAACAAUUUAUAGUGCAAAAGAAAUUUAAUUGAAAAAAAAAAAAAAAAAACUCAAGAACUUUAAUAUAAGAUGCAGAAAACUGGAAUGAACACUGUAACAAUAUAUUUGUUUUAUUCGUGGAAGAUUUUACCAAAGUUUCCGAAUGAGAUUUUUGUACGAUUUUUGUGUCCUGCUCUCUAGGGAAACGAACUAUGGAUAAAUGAAGGUUAAUAUUACGAGAUUUAACUGCCCAAAUGACAAUAGUUUUGUACAUUUACGAACUUGGGAAGAUAUAAAUAAAAAACGAACUAAAAUAAUGAUAAAUUACUGAAGAUUGGCAAUGGGAAGCAAAUUUUCUGAAGCGCCUGAAAGGUGAAAGGGUUUUUGCUAUUAUCAUGCACAAGAUACGAUCUUUUUACAAUUUUUGUUAACUCUUACCAAUGUAAAUACAAAAAAAAAAUUGAAUUAGUACUGUCUGACCAUCGAUUAAAUGGAAAGGCUAAUAUCCGGUUUAUGGGCGGAAAUGGACGUAUCUAUUAGUGUAUAGGGAUGUUAGUUGGUUUCUUUUAUAUGUGCACUUUUGUCUCUCUAUUAUUUAGCCUUAGUUUUGUAAAAAUGAAAAUUUGCUCACAGCAACAUUUUUUGAAUCUAAAGUAUAUUCGAACUAUAUUCUCACGGCAAAAAUUAAUUGAAUUAUUUAUUCACAACAAAGUUUUGAGCUUACCAUUUUGCUUUUACCUUCCUGAACGAAAUGAAAAUAUUGUAUUUUCUUUUUGUUGUUUCCAUGGUAACUAUUUUUGUUUCCCUUUAUUUUAUUUUUGAGAAUGCAAUAAAUGAAUAAUGCACUAGUGACAUUAUGAAGCUCGUGCAUCAAAAUCCCAUCGUUAUUUCCCCUUUUCCCCUGCUAGAUUCAUUCAGAUGGAAUCGUCUUUACUUGGCAGAUUGCCGAAUUACAUACAAUCCGUGGUCAAAUAGUACAUUUCAUUUUUUGAGACAAAUCUACUGAAUUGUAAAAAAUGAGAUCAUUUUAUCAUAUAUAUGCAAAUAUGAAGGUUAUUAAAUAAGUGUAAAAUUAUUUAUAUGUAGAGGAUCUUACCUUAGCAGAUCUCUUGAAAUGUAUAAAAUAAGGUUUAUUUAACACUGCAGUUUGGAUGUGAUACCCGGGCUGUCUGGUGUAUUGCAUGUACUAGAAGAGUGUACUUGAGUAUAUAUAAAUAUGUAGGCAAUCGACAAUUCGUUUGCAAUAUAUAUGUUGAUCUUAUGUAAAAAGAUUAUCUUGAAGGUCAGACUUGAGGUAUUUUUUAAAACCAUAUUUAAAAAAAAAACUUGAAAAGCGCCAAUAUGUAGAAAAUUAAUAGGUCAUUCUUUUAUGCAGAUCAAAUGUA